AGGGCGCACGGUGGAUGCCUUGGCACUAGAAGCCGAUGAAGGACGUGACUAACGACGAAAUGCUUUGGGGAGCUGUAAGUGAGCAAUGAUCCAGAGAUGUCCGAAUGGGGGAACCCGGCAGGUAAUGCCUGUCACUCAUUACUGUUAAGGUAAUGUAGAGGAAGACGCAGUGAACUGAAACAUCUAAGUAGCUGCAGGAAGAGAAAGCAAAAGCGAUUGCCUUAGUAGCGGCGAGCGAAACGGCAAGAGGGCAAACCGAAGAGUUUACUCUUCGGGGUUGUAGGACUGCAACGUGGACUUAAAGAUUAUAGAAGAACUACCUGGGAAGGUAGGCCAAAGAGAGUAAUAGCCUCGUAUUCGAAAUAGUCUUUAUACCUAGCAGUAUCCUGAGUACGGCGAGACACGAGAAAUCUCGUCGGAAUCUGGGAGGACCAUCUCCCAACCCUAAAUACUCUCUAGUGACCGAUAGUGAACCAGUACCGUGAGGGAAAGGUGAAAAGCACCCCGGAAGGGGAGUGAAAGAGAACUUGAAACCGUGUGCUUACAAGUAGUCAGAGCCCGUUAAUGGGUGAUGGCGUGCCUUUUGUAGAAUGAACCGGCGAGUUACGAUCUGAUGCAAGGUUAAGCAGCAAAUGUGGAGCCGCAGCGAAAGCGAGUCUGAAUAGGGCGUUGAGUAUUUGGUCGUAGACCCGAAACCAGGUGAUCUACCCUUGGUCAGGUUGAAGUUCAGGUAACACUGAAUGGAGGACCGAACCGACUUACGUUGAAAAGUGAGCGGAUGAACUGAGGGUAGCGGAGAAAUUCCAAUCGAACUUGGAGAUAGCUGGUUCUCUCCGAAAUAGCUUUAGGGCUAGCCUCAAGUGAUGAUUAUUGGAGGUAGAGCACUGUUUGGACGAGGGGCCCCUCUCGGGUUACCGAAUUCAGACAAACUCCGAAUGCCAAUUAAUUUAACUUGGGAGUCAGAACAUGGGUGAUAAGGUCCGUGUUCGAAAGGGAAACAGCCCAGACCACCAGCUAAGGUCCCAAAAUAUAUGUUAAGUGGAAAAGGAUGUGGCGUUGCCCAGACAACUAGGAUGUUGGCUUAGAAGCAGCCAUCAUUUAAAGAGUGCGUAAUAGCUCACUAGUCGAGUGACACUGCGCCGAAAAUGUACCGGGGCUAAACAUAUUACCGAAGCUGUGGAUUGUCCUUUGGACAAUGGUAGGAGAGCGUUCUAAGGGCGUCGAAGCAUGAUCGCAAGGACAUGUGGAGCGCUUAGAAGUGAGAAUGCCGGUGUGAGUAGCGAAAGACGGGUGAGAAUCCCGUCCACCGAUUGACUAAGGUUUCCAGAGGAAGGCUCGUCCGCUCUGGGUUAGUCGGGUCCUAAGCUGAGGCCGACAGGCGUAGGCGAUGGAUAACAGGUUGAUAUUCCUGUACCACCUAGUAUCGUUUUAAUCGAUGGGGGGACGCAGUAGGAUAGGCGAAGCGUGCUGUUGGAGUGCACGUCCAAGCAGUAAGGCUGAGUGUUAGGCAAAUCCGGCACUCAUAAGGCUGAGCUGUGAUGGGGAGAGGAAAUUGUUUCCUCGAGUCGUUGAUUUCACACUGCCGAGAAAAGCCUCUAGAUAGAUAACAGGUGCCCGUACCGCAAACCGACACAGGUAGUCAAGAUGAGAAUUCUAAGGUGAGCGAGCGAACUCUCGUUAAGGAACUCGGCAAAAUGACCCCGUAACUUCGGAAGAAGGGGUGCUGACCGCAAGGUCAGCCGCAGUGAAUAGGCCCAAACAACUGUUUAUCAAAAACACAGGUCUCUGCUAAAUCGUAAGAUGAUGUAUAGGGGCUGACGCCUGCCCGGUGCUGGAAGGUUAAGAGGAUGAGUUAGCGCAAGCGAAGCCCAGAAUUGAAGCCCCAGUAAACGGCGGCCGUAACUAUAACGGUCCUAAGGUAGCGAAAUUCCUUGUCGGGUAAGUUCCGACCCGCACGAAAGGCGUAAUGAUUUGGGCACUGUCUCAACGAGAGACUCGGUGAAAUUAUAGUACCCGUGAAGAUGCGGGUUACCCGCGACAGGACGGAAAGACCCCAUGGAGCUUUACUGUAGCUUGAUAUUGAGUGUUGGUACCGCUUGUACAGGAUAGGUAGGAGCCGUAGAGAUCGGAACGCUAGUUUCGAUGGAGGCAUUGGUGGGAUACUACCCUAGCUGUAUGAACACUCUAACCCGCGCCACUAAUCGUGGCGGGAGACAGUGUCAGGUAGGCAGUUUGACUGGGGCGGUCGCCUCCUAAAAUGUAACGGAGGCGCCCAAAGGUUCCCUCAGAAUGGUUGGAAAUCAUUCGCAGAGUGUAAAGGUAUAAGGGAGCUUGACUGCGAGAGCUACAACUCGAGCAGGGACGAAAGUCGGGCUUAGUGAUCCGGUGGUUCCGCAUGGAAGGGCCAUCGCUCAACGGAUAAAAGCUA
rnacentral:rRNA from 1 species